rnacentral:rRNA from 1 species
CCUACGGGAGGCUGCAGUGGGGAAUCUUGCGCAAUGGGCGAAAGCCUGACGCAGCCAUGCCGCGUGAAUGAUGAAGGUCUUAGGAUUGUAAAAUUCUUUCACCGGGGACGAUAAUGACGGUACCCGGAGAAGAAGCCCCGGCUAACUUCGUGCCAGCAGCCGCGGUAAUACGAAGGGGGCUAGCGUUGCUCGGAAUUACUGGGCGUAAAGGGCGCGUAGGCGGACAUUUAAGUCAGGGGUGAAAUCCCAGGGAUCAGCUGUGGAACUGCCUUUGAUACUGGAUGUCAUGAGUGUGAGAGAGGUAAGUGGAACACCGGGUGUAGAGGAGAAAUUCGUAGAUAUUCGGAAGAACACCAGUGACGAAGGCGACAUACUGGCUAAGUACAGACGCUGAGGGGCUAAAGCGUGGGGAGCAAACAGAAUUAGAUACCCUGGUGGUC